GACGAACCGAGCGAACGUUGUUCGGAAUCACUGGGCGUAAAGGGCGCGUAGGCGGCUGGCUAAGCGGGUGGUGAAAGCCCGGGGCUCAACCCCGGGUCGGCCAUGCGAACUGGUCAGCUGGAGCACGGUAGAGGCACAUGGAAUUCCGGGUGUAGCGGUGGAAUGCGUAGAGAUCCGGAAGAACACCGGUGGCGAAGGCGGUGUGCUGGGCCGUAGCUGACGCUGAGGCGCGAAAGCGUGGGGAGCAAACAGG
rnacentral:rRNA from 1 species